rnacentral:rRNA from 1 species
ACGAACGCUGGCGGCGUGCUUAACACAUGCCCGUCGAACGGAAAGGCCCUGCUUUUGUGGGGUGCUCGAGUGGCGAACGGGUGAGUAACACGUGAGUAACCUGCCCUUGACUUUGGGAUAACUUCAGGAAACUGGGGCUAAUACCGGAUAGGAGCUCCUGCUGCAUGGUGGGGGUUGGAAAGUUUCGGCGGUUGGGGAUGGACUCGCGGCUUAUCAGCUUGUUGGUGGGGUAGUGGCUUACCAAGGCUUUGACGGGUAGCCGGCCUGAGAGGGUGACCGGCCACAUUGGGACUGAGAUACGGCCCAGACUCCUACGGGAGGCAGCAGUGGGGAAUAUUGCACAAUGGGCGGAGGCCUGAUGCAGCAACGCCGCGUGCGGGAUGACGGCCUUCGGGUUGUAAACCGCUUUCGCCUGUGACGAAGCGUGAGUGACGGUAAUGGGUAAAGAAGCACCGGCUAACUACGUG